rnacentral:rRNA from 1 species
GAUGAACGCUGGCGGCGUGCCUAAUACAUGCAAGUCGAGCGAACGGACGAGAAGCUUGCUUCUCUGAUGUUAGCGGCGGACGGGCGAGUAACACGUGGAUAACCUACCUAUAAGACUGGGAUAACUUCGGGAAACCGGAGCUAAUACCGGAUAAUAUUUUGAACCGCAUGGUUCAAAAGUGAAAGACGGUCUUGCUGUCACUUAUAGAUGGAUCCGCGCUGCAUUAGCUAGUUGGUAAGGUAACGGCUUACCAAGGCAACGAUGCAUAGCCGACCUGAGAGGGUGAUCGGCCACACUGGAACUGAGACACGGUCCAGACUCCUACGGGAGGCAGCAGUAGGGAAUCUUCCGCAAUGGGCGAAAGCCUGACGGAGCAACGCCGCGUGAGUGAUGAAGGUCUUCGGAUCAUAAAACUCUGUUAUUAGGGAAGAACAUAUGUGUAAGUAACUGUGCACAUCUUGACGGUACCUAAUCAGAAAGCCACGGCUAACUACGUG